rnacentral:rRNA from 1 species
GACUACAGGGGUAUCUAAUCCUGUUUGAUCCCCACACUUUCGCACCUCAGCGUCAGUUAUUGGCCAGGAGCUUGCCUUCGCCAUUGGUAUUCUUCCUGAUCUCUACAGAUUCCACCCCUACACCAGGAAUUCUAGCUCCCUCUCCAUAACUCAAGCCUCGCAGUUCUCAACGCAUUCCCACGGUUAAGCCGUGGAAUUUCACGCCAAGCUUACAAAGCCGCCUACAUGCCCUUUACGCCCAGUAAUUCCGAACAACGCUUGCCCCCUACGUGUUACCGCGGCUGCUGGCACGUAGUUAGCCGGGGCUUAUUCGCCGGUUCAUGUCAUCAUCCGGGCAUUCCCUCCCAGACUUAUUCUUCCCCAGCAAAAGGACUUUACAACCUUUCGGCCUUCAUCAUCCACGCGGCGUCGCUCCGUCAGACUUUCGUCCAUUGCGGAAUAUUCCUCACUGCAGCCCCCCGUAGG